UACAGAGGUCUCAAGCGUUGUUCGGAUUCAUUGGGCGUAAAGGGUGCGUAGGUCGCGUGGUAAGUCGGGUGUGAAAUCUCGGGGCUCAACCCCGAAACUGCAUUCAAUACUGCGAUGCUCGAGUACUGGAGAGGAGACUGGAAUUCAUGGUGUAGCAGUGAAAUGCGUAGAUAUCAUGAGGAAGGCCAGUGGCGAAGGCGGGUCUCUGGACAGUUACUGACGCUGAGGCACGAAGGCCAGGGGAGCAAACGGG
rnacentral:rRNA from 1 species